GUCUGAAAUACAGGUAUGUGAUAAAUUAACUUCAUAUACAGUACAAUCAUAUACGUGUGUGUGUGUAUGUUUACAAUAUGUAUAUAUUGUGGCGAAACCAGCCUCGCCACGUGUCCUUGGAGGGGGCUGCUUGCCCGCCUCUUGCCUUUGGACUAUGGACCAGACUUUAUGUGAAUGUGUUAACCCAGAUAGCUAUGCCAUGGAGCCCAUUCGUGUAGUUAAAGACUUCGGCUCCAUGGCAAUUGAACUGUGUGAAUAGGAUCUGAGCGCUAUUCGGUAGUUUUGUGCGCUCAGAUCCCAGCUAUCUGGGGAUAUGUGAAAUGUCUGUG